CCAAAUUUCAGCUCUUUCAGGAAAGACUGGUUUUGCAUGACAUCUAACGCAUUAAAAACGUCAAAAUCCUUUUGCUUGGCAACAAUAAGUGCAUCGUUCAUCAACUGAAGCAGUGGAGUCUUAGUAGCAACAUUAUAAAAUGAAUAAGCAACCUUCAAAGUCGAGUAAUUCUGGUUGCCAAGGAUAGAUGAUGGAAGGGUGUAGAAGCUGCAGAAGUCAGUGAUCUCGUGAGUCUCUUGACUCUCAACCAAGUAACUAUCAACCACAUUCUCAGUUGGAAGAAGCCAGUGCUCCACAUCAUUCUCAUCAAAGUCUGGAGCAACAAUAAACUGGUUCAUGUAAUGUCUGAGUAAUCGUGUAACAGUAGGUACAUCAUGAAGCUCCAUUUUUCUAAAUCCAGGAGUAGC
rnacentral:misc_RNA from 1 species